AUGGGAUUUGUUUCUCCCAAAUUCUUGGAUUGAACCUGCAAAAGAAAUGCUUUCAAAGAAAUACUGCAACUGUAAAAGUAAAUAUUAGCUCCAGCAACAAUUUGCAUACAAUUAUUGCAAGAAAUGAUUCUGCAGUACCUACGAGUUGUAAAAGUAAGUUUGACAGAAAAUUUGAGAAAAUAAAAAGGAAAGAAGAACGUGGUGAUUAGUGAUGCUGAUUAAGCAUGUGGGCAUGACUUGUGCCUGCUGAUUUACCUCCAGCGAUGCAACGCUUAAAUUUAUGUUUGAGAAAGAGGCUGAAUCUACCCGAUCCAAUAGCCACCAAUAAACUCUAAGCUGAUACUAGAAAGCCACAUGGAGAAAGAAAGAUGCUGAUACGACCUUUUCUAUCCAGACUUCUGGGGCUCUAUUCAAUUUCAGACGACUGCAUUUUUUUUUUCCCUGGGGAAACUGUGCUGGACUAGAAAGGCUGCUCUACUUGCCAUGCCCCCAAUUAUCAGGAACUUAGUUAUGUGGUGAAGGAUUUUGUCUAAUACCUACUAAGUUGUGAAGCAUGGCUAUGGCUGCUACAGUUAAAGUGGUUCUUGGCUCCGUUGCCUUCGCUAUUUUUUGGGUUCUGGCGGUUUUCCCGGCUGUUCCCUUUCUUCCUAUUGGUAGGACUGCAGGGUCUCUUCUUGGGGCUAUGCUUAUGGUCAUCUUCCGAGUUAUAACUCCCGAUCAAGCCUAUGCUGCUAUUGAUCUUCCAAUUCUUGGUCUUCUAUUUGGUACAAUGGUAGUCAGCGUCUAUCUUGAAAGAGCAGACAUGUUUAAGUACUUGGGCAAGUUGCUUUCAUGGAAAAGUAUGGGAGCCAAGGACUUACUCUGUCGAAUCUGUUUGAUAUCUGCAAUUUCAAGUGCCCUUUUCACUAAUGACACAUCUUGUGUGGUUUUAACCGAAUUUGUACUGAAAAUUGCAAGACAACACAAUCUUCCACCUCAUCCAUUUCUGUUAGCCCUAGCCUCCAGUGCAAAUAUUGGCUCUUCAGCAACUCCAAUUGGGAAUCCUCAAAACUUAGUUAUAGCAGUCCAGAGUGGAAUUCAGUUUGGGGAUUUUGUAAUUGGAAUACUCCCUGCAAUGCUUGUGGGAGUUGUUUUAAAUGCUGUAAUCCUUCUUUGUAUGUAUUGGAGAGUGUUGUCGGUUGACAAGGACGAAGAAGACCCUGCAUUGGAGGUGGUUGCCGAAGAAGAUGUGAGUUCCCACCGUUUUUCGCCAGCAACUAUGUCACAUCCUACGUCCUUGAAUUCUCAGGAAUGGAACUCUACAUUGGAAUCAAUGAACAUUAGUAGCUCACCUAAUAUCAAUGGUCAUAGGAAUCAUAUUGAGACCCUUAGAAGCAGGGCAAAUGCAAGUGAGAGCGAAAUCCAAAAAGCCCCAAGUGAGGAGUCUAAUCCUGCAGGGAACUCAAGUCCUCCAAAAGAGCUUGAAAUUGAAACAUUUGCACAUACAAGGGAGGAAACUGUCCCUUCAAAAUGGGUGCCACCCCUGAAUGGAUUUCAAAAUGGGGACCACUACACAACCAGUGAAGGGAAGGAGAAAUGGAAAAGAGUACUGUGGAAGACUUGUGUUUAUCUCGUUACAUUUGGAAUGCUAAUAUCUUUGUUACUGGGUCUGAACAUGUCAUGGACAGCAAUAACAGCAGCACUUGCUCUCGUGGUUCUUGAUUUUAAGGAUGCCAGGCCGUGCUUAGAAAAGGUAUCAUACUCGCUCUUGAUAUUCUUUUGUGGAAUGUUUAUCACAGUAGAUGGGUUUAACAAAACAGGAAUCCCCAGCGCACUGUGGGAUCUUAUAGAGCCGCAUGCUCAGAUUAAUCACACUGGUGGAAUAGCAGUUCUUGCUCUUGUGAUACUUAUGCUGUCAAAUUUGGCUUCAAAUGUGCCAACAGUUCUGCUGCUUGGGGGACGCGUGGCGGCUUCAGCUGCUGCAAUAUCUUCUGCUGAGGAGAAGAAAGCAUGGCUCCUUCUAGCUUGGGUAAGCACUGUAGCUGGAAAUCUGUCCCUCUUAGGAUCGGCUGCCAACCUGAUUGUCUGUGAGCAGGCUCGUCGUGCCCAUCAUUUCGGCUACAACCUCUCAUUUUGGAGUCACCUCAAGUUUGGAUUUCCAUCCACUAUUGUCAUCACAGCUAUUGGUUUGACACUGAUCAGGGGAUGAUACCCUAUAAUCACUGUGAUAACCUGACCUGUGUUGUAAAUUUGGAGUCGUUAAAUAAAAGAGGCGUGGAAGAGCCCCAUGUCUCGCACAGUUUGUCUGGGGAGUCAGGUGGCAAGACAACGGAAAUACAAGAGUUUAGACUGAAGGGAAUCGAGUCCAAAGAGGCAAACACGGUUAAGACAUACAGAUAGCUAGCAGCUAUUCAGCAAGUAGCAUUAUGUUUUCAGCAGAUAAUAAAAUGUCAGCUUCCCUCGAUGAAAACAUGCCACGUUUUUCGUGAAAGUCUUGGUUGUGGUGGGAAGCUUCUCUCAACAUCAAGCAAUGAGGAGAUUAAAGUGGCAAUGGGAAUUGGGAAUUAGGCAUAAAGACAUGCCAACCAAAGCAUGUUUGGGGGCCUAUGCAGUGGUGGGGAAAAAAUGUUGGGAGGCUUCCAAAAGGUCUUUGUUUCUCUGUAGAUUCAUACAUUCCCCCUGGUACGCUUUGGCCACAUUUCCCAUCCGCCAAAGCUGUACCAUCAUCUUUUGGUUGAUGUUGACUGACGAUUAU